rnacentral:rRNA from 1 species
AGCGAACGCUGGCGGCAGGCCUAACACAUGCAAGUCGAACGGAUCCUUCGGGAUUAGUGGCGGACGGGUGAGUAACACGUGGGAACGUGCCCUUUGGUUCGGAACAACUCAGGGAAACUUGAGCUAAUACCGGAUGUGCCCUUCGGGGGAAAGAUUUAUCGCCAUUGGAGCGGCCCGCGUCUGAUUAGCUAGUUGGUGGGGUAAAGGCCCACCAAGGCUACGAUCAGUAGCUGGUCUGAGAGGAUGAUCAGCCACAUUGGGACUGAGACACGGCCCAAACUCCUACGGGAGGCAGCAGUGGGGAAUCUUGCGCAAUGGGCGAAAGCCUGACGCAGCCAUGCCGCGUGAAUGAUGAAGGCCUUAGGGUUGUAAAGCUCUUUUGUCCGGGACGAUAAUGACGGUACCGGAAGAAUAAGCUCCGGCUAACUCCGUGCCAGCCGCCGCGGUAACAC